rnacentral:ncRNA from 1 species
UGGCGUCCGCNCGGGAGCCCCACCGGGCUGAGAGGGAGCACGGCCGCCGCUACGCGGCCCGACUCCGACCGUGGAACCUGAUCCGGAUCAUGCCGGCGCAGGGAGCGUGAACCGCAUGUAC